CUCCUCUUCUUCAUCAGAUCUGAUAUCAAACCUGCAAAAAAAAAAAACCCAAAUCUCUUAGGGUCUCAGACCUCUUGUUCUUUGUUUUGCCAAAACAAAAUACUCGAUUUUUUUGUUUGGUUAAUCCGUUAAUAUUACCGACCUCUUGCUCUUUGUUUCCCAAACAUCUCAAUUUCUCUAAGCUUUUCUUUUCCUAGAUCCCUAUUUCUUGUUCUUGCGAGCUUGAGAUUUGGAGGCCAUUAGAUGAUGUUAAAGCCACUGCGAGGUGUUGCAUGAGCUUCUCUUCUCUUGCUCUCAAAAUCUUGCUUGGCUUUUGAAGCGUUAGCAGAUGGGCUGCUUUGAUUUCACGGGGAAACCAUUCAGGUAGACUUGAUCUGCGCCUACAAGCAACAUCAGAAGUUCUAUGCUGGUAAGUGUCACAGCACAGACGGACAUGGAGGAAGAAGAACCCAUAUUCCUUUAGGGGCACAAUCCAAGAUAGAUGGCAUCCAAGGUUAGCAACAAAUUCAAGUCAAGAAUUAAGCAGGAGAAGAAAACUUGGCAUCCAAGCAACGCAGCAAAUGUGACGAUAAAAUUAGGCAGUCUUUUCCCAUACUUUUGACUUUUCAGUACAAUACUAUGGUGGCGGCCUCCAUCUAUGUUUUUUGUUUGGAUUGAUGCUAAACUGAUGGAAGAUUUAAAUGAUGUUUAUGUCUGAAGUUGCUGUUUUGGAAUUAUAUUGUAGAAGUACUUAAAUUUGGUUUCCAUAUUUGUAAUGCUCC
rnacentral:lncRNA from 1 species